GACGCAGCUAACGCAUUAAGUGCCCCGCCUGUGAGUACGAUCGCAAGAUUAAAACUCAAAGGAAUUGACGGGGCCCCGCACAAGCAGCGGAGCAUGCGGCUUAAUUCGACGCAACGCGAAGAACCUUACCAAGGCUUGACAUAUACAGGAAUAUGGCAGAGAUGUCAUAGCCGCAAGGUCUGUAUACAGGUGGUGCAUGGUUGUCGUCAGCUCGUGUCGUGAGAUGUUGGGUUAAGUCCCGCAACGAGCGCAACCCUCGUUCUGUGUUGCCAGCAUUUAGUUGGGGACUCACAGGAGACUGCCGGGGUUAACUCGGAGGAAGGUGGGGAUGACGUCAAAUCAUCAUGCCCCUUAUGUCUUGGGCUGCACGCAUGCUACAAUGGCUGGUACAAACGGCUGCGAUACCGCAAGGUGGAGCGAAUCCGAUAAAGCCAGUCUCAGUUCGGAUUGGGGUCUGCAACUCGACCCCAUGAAGUCGGAGUUGCUAGUAAUCGUAGAUCAGCAACGCUACGGUGAAUACGUUCCCGGGGCUUGUACACACCGCCCGUCACGUCACGA
rnacentral:rRNA from 1 species